AACUUUUGACAACGGAUCACUUGGUUCUCGCAUCGAUGAAGAACGCAGCGAAAUGCGAUAAGUAAUAUGAAUUGCAGAUUUUCGUGAAUCAUCGAAUCUUUGAACGCACAUUGCGCCCUUUGGUAUUCCAAAGGGCAUGCCUGUUUGAGCGUCAUUUCUCUCUCAAAUCUUCGGAUUUGGUUUUGAGUGAUACUCUUAGUCAGACUAGGCGUUUGCUUGAAAUGUAUUGGCAUGAGUGGUACUAGAUAGUGCUGAACUGUUUCAAUGUAUUAGGUUUAUCCAACUCGUUGACCAGUAAAGUAUUUGUUUAUUACACAGGCUCGGCCUUACAACAACAAACAAAGUUUGACCUCAAAUCAGGUAGGACUACCCGCUGAACUUAAGCAUAUCAAUAAGCGGAGGCU
rnacentral:misc_RNA from 1 species